rnacentral:lncRNA from 1 species
AUCCAUUCAACCAACGGUUCAGAAAUAACCUAAGAAUCAAAACCCCAAAUAUAGGCUUAAAACUAAAAAAAAAAAAAAAAAAAAAACGAACGAAACAAGUCCAUAAUCUCCUCCACCGGUGACGAGGUUAAUUACGUGCAUGCACGGCUGAGCCGCCACGGUAGCGCCCAACCAGCAACCACCUCUUCCAGUGGUGCCGCUGUCCAGCGCCACCCCUUCUCCGCCAUGCAACCACCACAUAUAUAUUAAUUAUAUAUAUGUAUGCAUAAUUAAUCCCUCGUAGAGCUAUAUAGCGUAUUUAACAUGUCGAAUCAAGAUUCGAGAUCAUCGGAAGAAGGCAAGAUUAUUUCCACCGCCGUUGCCAUUGACAAAGACAAGAACAGCCAAUUCGCUGUCAAAUGGGCAAUCGAUAAAUUAAGAUUGAGGGAUAAUCGAAUCAUCCUCGUUCACGUUAGAACGCAUCAUAGUCAUGAUUCUCGUGGGUAUUCUUGCUCCUUUUUUUUAUCCAUUAUUAUUAUUAUUUUUUAUUGGAUAUAGACAUGCAAUAUAAUUGUCAAAAUUUUAUCACAUUUUCUUUUUAAUGCAGAUGAAAUUACUAGAGAAGGGCGCGAACCUAAUCAAGCUGAAACGCAGCAGUUAUUCCUUCAUUAUCGUGGUUUUUGUGCACGAAAAGGGGUACCUAACACGAUUUUCUUUUUUAUGAUCCACACAUAUAUAUAUAUCAUGCAUAUAUAAUUAGCACAUAUUGAUGAAUAUAUGACCAUCUGUUAUGUAUGACAAUUAAAAGAGUCCAAUUCUUGAUAAUGAGCUCAAAAAAUCAAGAUUCUCUAAUAUGUAUUACUGACCUGAGUUUUGCCGAUUUGAAUCUCGAAAACCAAAGCUUGAACCUGAUUAUGCAACUGAUUCCAAAUCAUCAACAGAUUCAAAACAGGAUAUUCUAUUACAAUUUCUACUGCAACGUAAAUAAUAACUUUGUGACUGACCGUUUAUUCAGAUUCGUGCAAAGGAGGUGAUUCUGCAAGACAUUGAAGUUGCAAACGCCCUUUCCGAAUACAUCAAAGUCAACUCCAUCACCACCGCCGUACUUGGCGCUU